AUUGAACGCUGGCGGCAGGCCUAACACAUGCAAGUCGAACGAGUGGCGGACGGGUGAGUAAUGUCUGGGAAACUGCCCGAUGGAGGGGGAUAACUACUGGAAACGGUAGCUAAUACCGCAUACCAUCGGAUGUGCCCAGAUGGGAUUAGCUAGUAUGUGGGGUAACGGCUCACCUAGGCGACGAUCCCUAGCUGGUCUGAGAGGAUGAGCAGCCCCACUGGAACGGAGACACGGUCCAGACUCCUACCGGAGGCAGCAGUGGGUAAUAUUGCACUAUUGGAGCAAGCCUGAUGCAGCCAUGCCGCGUGUAUGAAGAAGGCCUUCGGGUUGUAAAGUACUUUCACCGGUGAGGAGUUACUCGCAGAAGAAGCACCGGCUAACUCCGUGCCAGCAGCCGCGGUAAUUC
rnacentral:rRNA from 1 species